AUUUAAGUAAUUUAAUUUAAAAUUUUGAUUUGUGGUGUCAAACAUGUAAUUUUCUUUACCUUAAAUU
rnacentral:tRNA from 1 species